AGUGAACGCUGGCGGUAGGCCUAACACAUGCAAGUCGAACGGCAGCACAGUAAGAGCUUGCUCUUACGGGUGGCGAGUGGCGGACGGGUGAGGAAUACAUCGGAAUCUACUUUUUCGUGGGGGAUAACGUAGAGAAACUUACGCUAAUACCGCAUACGACCUACGGGUGAAAGCAGGGGAUCUUCGGACCUUGCGCGAUUGAAUGAGCCGAUGUCGGAUUAGCUAGUUGGCGGGGUAAAGGCCCACCAAGGCGACGAUCCGUAGCUGGUCUGAGAGGAUGAUCAGCCACACUGGAACUGAGACACGGUCCAGACUCCUACGGGAGGCAGCAGUGGGGAAUAUUGGACAAUGGGCACAAGCCUGAUCCAGCCAUACCGCGUGGGUGAAGAAGGCCUUCGGGUUGUAAAGCCCUUUUGUUGGGAAAGAAAAGCAGCAGGUUAAUACCCCGCUGUUCUGGCGGUACCCAAAGAAUAAGCACCGGCUAACUUCGUG
rnacentral:rRNA from 1 species